rnacentral:rRNA from 1 species
AUUGAACGCUGGCGGCAGGCCUAACACAUGCAAGUCGAGCGGAGCGGCGGACGGGUGAGUAAUGCCUAGGAAUCUGCCCGGCAGUGGGGGAUAACGUCCGGAAAAGGGCGCUAAUAUCGCAUACCAUCAGACGAGCCUAGGGUGGACUCGCGAGUUGGUGGGGUAAAGGCCUACCCAGGCGACGAUCCGUAACUGGUCUGAGAGGAUGAUCAGUCACACUGGAACUGAGACACGGUCCAGACUCCUACGGGGGGCAGCAUUGGGGAAUAUUGGACAAUGGGCGAAAGCCUGAUCCAGCCAUGCCGCGUGUGUGAAGAAGGUCUUCGGAUUGUAAAGCACUUUAAGUUGGGAGGCGUUACCAACAGAAUAAGCACCGGCUAACUUCGUGCCAGCAGCCGCGGUAAUUC